GAUUGAAUGGUCCGGUGAAGUGUUCGGAUCGCGGCGACGUGGGCGGUCCUGCUGCCGGCGACGUCGCGAGAAGUCCACUGAACCUUAUCAUUUAGAGGAAGGAGAAGUCGUAACAAGGUUUCCGUAGGUGAACCUGCGGAAGGAUCAUUGUCGAAACCUGCAAGGCAGAACGACCCGUGGACCGUUUGUGGCUCCUCAUUCUCGAGCGGCGGGGCCUUCGUGCCCAUCCGCUCGUCGCCCCAGGGCUAGGGACGUGGGCCGAGCCCACGCUCGCUAUCCUUGGGUGCAUACAACAAACCCCGGCGCAGAUCGCGCCAAGGAACAAGAAAGAAAGAGAGACGCGCUCCCAUGGUCCCGGAUACGGUGCGCCACGGGCAGCGUCGUCGAUGUGAGUAUUCGAAACGACUCUCGGCAACGGAUAUCUCGGCUCUCGCAUCGAUGAAGAACGUAGCGAAAUGCGAUACUUGGUGUGAAUUGCAGAAUCCCGUGAACCAUCGAGUUUUUGAACGCAAGUUGCGCCCGAAGCCGUCUGGCCGAGGGCACGUCUGCCUGGGUGUCAAGAAACGUCGCCAAACGUCCCUCUCCGCACCCUCCCCACCCGAGGGGGGGUGAGCAUCGAGGGCGGGCGGAUAUUGGCCUCCCGUGCGCGAUUGCUCGCGGUUGGCCCAAAAGAGAGUACCCCGGCGAGGCAGCCACGGCGUGCGGUGGUAGAAAGCGUAUGCUCUCCUCGGACACCGUCGUGGGCCGACCUCGUGGGGGCAGGAAAGACUAACUAAGGCCCCGAUGCGAAGUCGUGUUUCGCGAAGCGACCCCAGGUCAGGCGGGAGCACCCGCUGAGUUUAAGCAUAUCAAUAAGCGGAGGAAAAGAAACUUACGAGGAUUCCCCUAGUAACGGCGAGCGAACCGGGAACAGCCCAGCUUGAGAAUCGGAUGCCCUCGGCGUUCGAAUUGUAGUCUGGAGAAGCG
rnacentral:misc_RNA from 1 species